AUUGAACGCUGGCGGCAGGCUUAACACAUGCAAGUCGAGCGAGCGGCGGAAGGGUGAGUAAUGUCUGGGAAACUGCCUGAUGGAGGGGGAUACCUACUGGAAACGGUAGCUAAUACCGCAUACCCUCAGAUGUGCCCAUUUGGGAUUAGCUAGUAGGUGGGUUAAUGGUUCACCUAGGCGACUAUCCCUAGCUGGUCUGAGAGGAUGACCAGCAACACGGGAACUGAGACACGGUCCAGACUCCUACGGGAGGCAGCAGUGGGGAAUAUUGCACAAUGGGCGCAAGCCUGAUGCAGCCAUGCCGCGUGUGUGAAGAAGGCCUUCGGGUUGUAAAGCACUUGCAGCGAGGAGGCGUUACUCGCAGAAGAAGCACCGGCUAACUCCGUGCCAGCAGCCGCGGUAAUAC
rnacentral:rRNA from 1 species